CUGUCAGCGCUCAGCCUGGUUUUCGCUUUUCUUUCUGGUGGCAACUCCCUUUGGUCUUUUGUAUAUUUGAUACAAAUGUUUGGCGAAACCACAGAAGGUUCCGAACUUUCUGGCUUCAGGGCCCCUAGGGCUCCUCCUUUCAGCCCUUAUACCCCCCAUCCAGGUUACCGUUCAUUCAGUGCUGAUACCCUUGUUCUUGCCAAAGGAACUGUGCUCCUCGUCAUAGAAAUCGUGCUCCAUUCAGUUAUUGUCUAGAAGAGCCCUAAGGAGAAACGUGGAGUUAGGGCAGAAAACUAAGACCUAACUUGCUAUCUUGUCUGGAGUCAUAUGGUGACUCUGCAACUUGAUGGAUGACGACAACCCUUUUCCAUCAAAAAAUAAUUCAAAAAUGGCAGAACUCUUUAUGGAAUGUGAAGAAGAAGAGCUAGAACCAUGGCAGAAGAAAGUAGAAGAAAUUCUGGAUGAAGACGAUGAUGAGCUGAUCUUUGUUGGAGAGAUAUCAAGUUCAAAACCAGCCAUUUCAAAUAUUUUGAACAGAGGUAACCCCGGCUCAUCUUCAAAGGGAAUAAAGAAUGAGACACUCACUCAAGGUGUUACUGAUACAUUCAAGCCUACAAGUCAACACUACAAAGAUCCAACAUCAAAUCCAGUGGGUGCCUUGCCUAGAUUUCAUCCUGAAUCUAAAUCUUCACAAAGCUCUGUUAUUCAGAACGUGUCUAAACCUGAUUUUACAAAGAAUUUAUCACAAGUUGAAUCGGAUGAUUCUUCAGAUUUACUGUUUGACUUGACCCAGGAUACAAUUCCACUGUCCCAGGAGGGAUCAACAAUUUAUAUAGAAGGUAUGGAUGAAACUCUGCCUACAAAAAAACGUUCUUCUACUUCUAAAGUAAACAGUGUUAAUCCAAAAAAGCCAAAGACCAGUGAAAGUGGUUCUGACAUAAGUCCUUGUGCUUCGUUGUCCUUAAUUAGCUCUCCUUCGGUGGCAUCUUCCCAUGUUAUGAUAUCAAAAGGUACAAAUACCUCAUCACCUCACUAUAAAACUGGAGCGCCUUUUCUAAGAUCAUGUCCGAGGUGCAAUGUAAAGUUUAAUCUUUUGGAUCCCUUGAAAUAUCACAUGAAGCGUUGUUGUCCAGACAUGGUAAAUAAAUUCUUGGAAAUGAUUAAAGCAGAACUUAUAAAUACUGAAAAUAAAAAUAAGACUGGUGCAGAAAAAGGAAAAUUAAUUAUGUUAGUUAGUGACUUUUACUAUGGAAGACACGAGGGAGCUAUUGAUGAUGAAGAGAAGACUUACACAACUUUUAAAUGCUUCAGUUGCUUGAAAGUUCUUAAAAAUAAUAUUAGGUUUAUGAACCACAUGAAACACCAUCUGGAACUUGAGAAGCAGAACAGCGAGAGCUGGGAAAACCAUACUACCUGCCAGCACUGCUACCGUCAGUAUCCCACACCGUUCCAGUUGCAGUGUCACAUCGAGAGCACACACACUCCGCAUGAGUUUUCUACUAUUUGCAAAAUCUGUGAAUUAUCAUUUGAAACCGAACAUGCUCUUUUGCAACAUAUGAAGGACACUCAUAAACCCGGUGAAAUGCCAUAUAUUUGCCAGGUUUGCCAGUUUAGAUCUUCAACAUUUUCUGAUGUAGAGAAUCAUUUUAGAGCAUCCCAUGAAAACACUAAGAACUUGCUGUGUCCAUUUUGCCUCAAAGUUAGUAAAAUGGCAACUCCCUACAUGAAUCAUUACAUGAAGCAUCAGAAAAAAGGAGUUCAUCGUUGUACCAAGUGCAGACUACAAUUUUUGACCUGCAAAGAGAAACUGGAUCACAAGACCCAGCAUCGGACAUUUAUAAAGCCUAAAGAGCUAGAAGGAUUGCCUCCUGGUACAAAAGUUACUAUUCGAGCCUCAGUUGGACCUCUUCAUUCAAAACCAGUAACUACAUCUCUCAGUAGCAGUGUUCCAAGCACUUCUUCUUUUCAAAUCUCACCUCCAAGGUCUAAAAGUAUAACUGCUAAAAAUAUAAAAUCUACUGCAAGUAAAUCUAAGACAAGUAAGCUUCAUGCAGCUGUAUCCAGUGCAAGUAAACCUCAUGCCAAAAGGCAAGGUAGAGUUGCAUCUAAAUAUAAGACCAAAAAAACCUCUUGUAAACAAAAGAAACAACGCAACAGAAAGAAUAAAAUCAGCAUAGCUUUGAAGAACUUAAGGUGCCGUCGGGGAAUUCACAAGUGCAUUGAGUGUCAUUCCAAAAUAAAAGAUUUUGCAAGCCACUUUUCAAUAUAUAUCCAUUGUAAUUUUUGCAAAUACAACACUAACUGUAACAAAGCCUUUAUAAAUCAUAUGGUGAGCUCUCAUAGCAACCAUCCAAGUAAACGGUUUUAUAUUUUUAAGAAGCAUUCUGGAAUUCUCAGGGGCAUUACUCUAGUGUGCCUUAAAUGUGACUUCCUAACUGAUUCUUCUGGCUUAGAUCGUAUGGCUAAACACCUAAGUCAGCGUAAAACUCAUACUUGCCAAGUUGUAAUAGAGAAUGUUCCUGAAAGUACCUCAACUUCUGAACCCUCGUCUGAGUUCUGGAAAAACAGACUGAAAUCUCUUCCCUGGUGGAGCUUAUAUUUCAGUGGCGGAAGACAAGACAAUAAAAAAUAAGAAAUUUAUAUAGUAUGUUAGAUGAUGAUCAAUGCAACGGAGCAAAAUAAAGUGGGCAAGGAGGAUGUUUCAGGUGUCUAAGUGCCGAGACUGGGACCAGGAUUAGCUCCUUCAGAUGGGCUUCCAACCCAGGAAAUGGGGAAGACUCAAGGGUGUAGCUCUGAAAAGUGAAGACGAUCUGUAGAGGAGACAUACUGGCUAUCAUGGAUCAUUCCAGAGACAUAGUGAGACUGCAUGAGAGGCCUGGAAGCACCUCACUUCACUUGAUUCUCCCUGCUCCUCACCACCCUCAACAGCAACAAGGAUGUCAUGAUUCUCUGGCCUCCUUAGUCCCCUUCCUCUGGUGGCAUUCUGGGAUCAGCCCAUUCCCAAAUCCUUUUGCUCCUUCUGAUGGAGGCUUGAGUGCCAUUGUGCCACCCUGCUGAUGCCAGCAGCAAGCUCUAGGGCUAGGAGACUGGGUGGAGCCUGGAGGUUCUCAGGAUUCCCAGGGUCACAGUGGGAAGCCCCAGGACUUCUUGGCUGUUCCCAGGCACCUGAGGGAGAACAAUGUCAUUACUGCAGGAAAGGACAGGAUCAUGCAGGUGAGGCUCAGAGGACAGAGGCAGGUAGGAUUGGUGAGCACCUUCUAUUCAGAGCAAAAUUACCAGAGCCUUGGCAGGACCAAAAGAUGAUAGUCUUGGGGAAGUUCAGAGUCUGAUUUUUAAGGUGGGGGGCAGCCAGUAUGGAAAUGACAGUCCUAACGCCCACAUUCAGGAGUCAUCCAGGAAAGGUGUCUAUUCCUCUCAGAAGAGCUAAGGAAAGUAGAGGCUUUUUGCUCUUGCUGGUCACCAAGCCUGCUGAAUCUUACCAAAGGCUAUUGAGUCUAGGUAAUGAUAAAACCUUCCACUCGCUUCCCACUGCACUUAAAUAAAACUCCAACCCAACAGACCUGGCCUCACCUACUUCUCAACCUCAUCGCCAACAUGCUCUCCCUUGCUCCCACUAGCCUCCUUUCUGUUUCUCAAGCACACCAACCUCACUUCUGCCUCAGGGCCUUGGCAUUUGCUGUUUCUUCAGCCUGGGGUUCUCGUUCUGACCUCAUACCUGGUUGCUCCUCUCCAUUCAGGUCUCAGCUCAAAUGUUACCUCUUCAAAGAUACCUGUUGUGAUCACUGUAUCUAAUAUGUUGCCCUUCCCCCACCUCCCUCACUUUCCAUCCAUUUACCCUGUUUUAUGACCCUGAGAGUCCUUAUUGCUCUCAAAUUCUCUCAUUAUGUAUCUCACUUCUUGUAUAGUGUCUAUCUCCUUUGUGAAAGCAGGAUUUAAAUUGUUCGCCUGCAUUAUCCCCAGGGCUUAGCACAGUGGCUCAUAGUAGAUGGUCAGUAAAUAUUUGUUGAAUGACUGAAAGGUGUCAGAGGCAAUUCCGGUCUAGAAGAGGCAAUCCUGAUUAGAGGACUCAGAAUGUUGUUAUCUUGACCCUGUUACGGCAGAGAAGGACCCUGAACAAGACAAGCCAAGACCCAGACUGAAAUGUAACCAUCAGAAUGGAUAAGUCUACCUGCAGCGACUGAGAGAUGGCCCAGCCCUGCAGCCAAGUCAAGAGCCAAAAGACACCACACAACAGCAGGUCGUGUCCUGGAUCACUUGUCACCAUGGUCGUCGUCGUCAUCAUCAUCAUCAUCAUCAUCAUCAUCAAAAGGCAGUAUUGAGCCACCAAAACUACAGUCUGGCAUCCUACGUAUCUCCCAAGGCGAUUUCAGAAAGAACAUUCGACUUUGGUUACACAGAAAAAUGUAAGUCCUUGAACACUGAUUUGCUUCUGAAAGCAGAGAGAGAAAAGAUUUUCACUUCUUCCGCCUCUCCAGUGCUCUGAGCAGAAAGAAAGAGCAGGCCAGUAAAGGUAUGGAGGUCAAUGGGAAGAGAGCAGGUAUAGCACAAGAAUAUCAUUACCACUUGGCUCCUGAUCCCCACCUCCACCCUCCAGUAGUCCUAACUCUUGCCUCUGAGUAAGGCUGAAUCCCUACCAGCCCUCAGGCAUGUGGCAGAUGCUUUAACACCAUGAGCUCAGAACUCUAAAAAUACCUGCCACCAGCAGGAACACGGGUGGGAGUGUGUGAGGUGUUUGGGGCUGAGUGGGUUGGCUGUUUGGCUUUUCUUUGCCUUCAGAAUUGUAUACACCAUCCAAACUGCCAGAGCUGCAGGGAGGAUCCUUCCUGCUGUAGACCUCCUUGCCUUUCCAGUGCCACGGGGAGCCUUGAAGCUUUUAUUUGGAGGCUCAGAAUUUAAAGUGUAGCACUGCUCCCAUUGCAGCUUUUUAUAAACCCCACUCUAAGUUCUUUGCACCCCCGUCAAUGGCAAGCGGUGAGUCCGGAAGCAGGCUGCUCAUAGCACAAAGUCAGAAUGGAUGGUGUGGCCUCAGAGCCAUCACAAAGGGAGAGCGCAGCAGUCAGUUCACUGCACACAAAUGACCUCAUUCUGUUUGGGAGUUUGGUGUCCCUGUUCUUAGCAUCCUCACAAACCCCUGAUCCCUGCCAGACAGUGAAAGCAUCUCCUCCCGCUUUCCAGCUGGCACUCCUCUCAUCCAUUCUUCCCUUCCUGUGGGCACCGCAUCCACAUGGUAGCCAGGUGUGCUGGCUGCUCCCUAGCCACAUACAUGCUCCCCAGAUCCUCUUUUCUCUCCCAGGGCUAGUGAGGGCAUUGUGGAGUCAACCAGCCUGGGUGCAAACCUCAACAGGAUCAUGUACUAAUCAGGUGCUCUUAGGUGAGUUACUUACUCUGUCUUCAGUGUCCUCCCCUGGAAGCUAAAGAUAACCUCAGCCAUCUCCGUGGGGAUGCUGUGAGGAUUAGCAUUCCUCAUGAGUACAUGACACAGUGCCUAAUACGUACUCUCCCUUCCUCCCUGGCCCCAAACUUCCACCAUCAAGUCUGGUCCAACAGCUAAUUGAGCGGGUGCUAUCAGAGAUGCAGCAGCAGUAGGCAUGGCAUUGAGAGACCUGGGUUCCAGCUCCUCUACUUAGUAGCAGAGUAAAUGAUGAGGCAGAUUAACACACGAGAAAGAGCUUUUGCAAAAUAGAAGUACUCUGUAAGUGCUGGCUGUUGCCAUUAUUUCAGAGGGCCCAUCGGCUGUCCUAGUAGCACUGUUCCCUGGAUGCACUGGUUCUCCUCCUGGAAAGCACAGAAAGCCUGGCUUCUUGAUGAUGGCAUGGAGCCAAGGCCAAGGCAGUCAGUGGGGAGGGGGAAAGAAAGCAAUGCCAGCAACGUGCCACAGGCGGCUGGGGGAAGGCCCAGAGUGACAGGGGUGUUGGAGGAGGCUCCAGGGGCACAGUGUGGAGAGCUGCCGAAGAGAAAUCUAGGCUUUUAAACCAUUAUCCUGGGGCUGCCACUGCCUGAGCAAGCUUCAGCAAGUCCCCCACCCCUGCACGUGCUCCUAGCUCACACGGGUAUUUCUUUUCCCUCUGGAACAUAUCUGGCAUCUUUCUAUAGAUGAGGAGUGAAUGUCCUUCUGUUGGAGGCCGGCGGGGGAGGGUAGAAGUAGAAAAAGGGAGACAGAUACAUCUGUAACCUUUGGAGGAUGCCCAAGUGGAUGAUGGGAAAAGUCGAAAACAAAUCUUUUUUCAUUUAGCUGGACUGUCCCAUCUGCACCUAAGAUACACACACAGUCACACACAAGGCUGACACAGAGAAUGGCAAAGGAGGACAGAGACAAAGAGAACUCACACACAGAAAGAGAGGCAGCAAGGCAGGCAGAGAAACACACACUGAUGGAUAAUUAGCCAUUAAGUGAACUGGCAUAAGAUGGAAGUUCAGAAGCCCUAAGGAAGACAUGAUGUCAUUCUGACUGCAGGCAGCUUCUGAGGGAACACUGAGCUCAGCCUCUGUCCCCUCAGUAAUAUAACACAGGAAGGUGUCUGUCCAAGUGCUCAGCAGAGGAAGAGAGUCCACAGUCCUGGGUGGCACCUGCCCACAGCCACAGCUGACCUGCAGUUUGCCUGGUCGGGAGGGCUGGGGCAGAGGGGUACCAGCUGUUGGGGGAGCUAAACGAGACAGGAGCAGGGGUGCUUCCAUGAGAAUUUACAAAGAAUGGCUCAAAAAUUAGUUCUGAGCCUCUCCUCUCUUACCUCCCCCAUCUCACCCCUCACACAUUCCUAUUUGGCACUUUCCAGUGCUUUUAGACUGAGGCAGGCUUAAUAUGAUUCAGCUAAACCUGUAGGAGAUGGACAUAUCGUGUCAUUAAGGAAAGCUCCACCCUUCCUUUAGGAUCAAGAAGGCCUCCACACUUCCUAGGCUGAUGUCAUGAAGGGCCGUCAGCUUUCCCAUAUGAUGCCCCUCUGUAUCCCUGUCACAGGUAACUGCGUGGGUUGGGUGCACCAUGGGACCAGCCCAAAUUGCUAGGGAAGAGCACCCACAAGGGAAUUGGGAAACCUGAGUGGAAGGCCUGUCCCUGUGUGAUCUUGUCCCUUUCCCUCUCCAAGCCUCGGUUUCCUAUCUGUUAAAUGAGCACAUUGGUUUAGAGAUUCUUUAAGGUCUCUUCCAUCUCUGAACAUUCUCGGGUUCUCACAUCCAAAGGGAGACAGUCAAGAUGCAAAAAGUAAAACCUAGGUACUCAGCUCAGUGUCUGGGGUGCAGUUGAAGGAGACAUCUUGCAGGCUCCUAAGUUCCAGGGCUCUAACCCUGGACCCUUGGCCUAGAAGAGACCACAAGGCCAGCUGUCCAGCCUGCCAUCUCCCGCUAAGCACACUCCCCACACCCCAGGCUAGAAAUUGCCCCCUAAAGCAGAGAGUGGUGUUAAACAGCUUGGGCUUUGAAUCCACAUUGAAGUUCUGACCCUGUCACAGAGAACGCAGGAUAGUGAGAGAGACAAGUGCUUGGGCUCAAGGCUCAAAGACUGAAACUCAGAUCCAUGCGCCUCUGGGCAAGUUAUUUAAUCUCUCUAACUUUGGUCUCCUUAUCUGUUGAAUAGGAAUGAUAAUAAUAGUCCAAAUUGCAUAGGGCUGCUGUGAAGAUCAGAUAAGAUAAUGCCUGUAAAGCACCUAACCCAGGCUCUUGGUCAAUAUGUAGAAGCUGUUGUUGUUGUUGUUGUUGUUAUUAUUAUUGCCUACUCAUUGGAAGCUUUUCUUGAUGUUCAUGUGAACCAGGAAACACUGGAUUAUAAAUGUUGUGAUGGAGAGGGGGUGGGACACAUUGAUUGGAAACACCAAAUGGGGCUUCGAAGCCCUAGAGAUGGCCCUUGUAAUUAAGAGAGUAGCCCUAAAUUUGAGAACUCAGUCACCCCCCUGCAGGGGUUGAUGUAUGUACUACCCUGGGACACAGGGAGGCUGCCCAGGAGAGGCCACACCCUACCCCUGGACUGAGAGAAGGGCUUGCAGAGACCUCUCUGCCAUCCUCCUGUGAGGGCUGGCAUUUGUAUCCUGAUGGCCUUCUAUUGAUGGCUGUGGCCUAGGGCCACUUCAGCCUGUCACAUUGGACUUCUCUCCCUCCCCCAAAGGGAGAAGCCUUUGGCAGUCACCUCCUAGCAUGGAUUUGGCAUUUGCUCCUUGAAAAACUCCAGGCCAGCCAGAGUGUGGGGCAAAAUCUCCUCCCAUCUAGAUCAUGUGCUAGCUGCCUUGCUCUGCCAUCUUCCCACAGACAUGCUGGUCUCGCCUGCUGCCUUUGGCCCUGAAGUUGCAGCAGCUCUACAAGAGGCAGAGUCACUAUCUCCCCACUCCCACACCCCACCCUGGGCUCCUUCGGAAUCUGCACUCAGAGGGCUCCUCUAUGAACAGUGUCACAAGGCUUUGCCCUCUCAAAAAUAUCAUCUUCCCAAAAAAGCCUGUAUUAAGCACUUAUCGGCGCAUGGUGUUGUGCUGAGCUCUGUUUCUAGUGAGUCACACUGUUACAGGCUCUUCCCUCUGGGAAAAAGUCUGGAAUCUUUGGCAAACACUGUAAACUCCAGUUUAGCUAAGUACUUGGUUGUUAGGAAGGAAGGAGUCUUUUAAAAAUGUCCCCAAGGCCAUUGGGCAGUGACCCUCUUC